GGCGACGACGGGUAGCCGGCCUGAGAGGGUGAUCGGCCACACUGGGACUGAGACACGGCCCAUACUCCUACGGGAGGCAGCAGUGGGGAAUAUUGCACAAUGGGCGAAAGCCUGAUGCAGCGACGCCGCGUGGGGGAUGACGGUCUUCGGAUUGUAAACCCCUUUCAGUAGGGACGAAGCGCAAGUGACGGUACCUGCAGAAGAAGCACCGGCUAACUACGUGCCAGCAGCCGCGGUAAUACGUAGGGUGCGAGCGUUGUCCGGAAUUACUGGGCGUAAAGAGCUCGUAGGCGGUUUGUCACGUCGUCUGUGAAAUCCCUCGGCUUAACCGGGGGCGUGCAGGCGAUACGGGCAGACUUGAGUACUACAGGGGAGACUGGAAUUCCUGGUGUAGCGGUGAAAUGCGCAGAUAUCAGGAGGAACACCGGUGGCGAAGGCGGGUCUCUGGGUAGUAACUGACGCUGAGGAGCGAAAGCAUGGGUAGCGAACAGGAUUAGAUACCCUGGUAGUCCAUGCCGUAAACGGUGGGCGCUAGGUGUGGGGUCCUUCCACGGAUUCCGUGCCGUAGCUAACGCAUUAAGCGCCCCGCCUGGGGAGUACG
rnacentral:rRNA from 1 species